UCGAGAAUCUUCGGCAAUGGACGCAAGUCUGACCGAGCGAUGCCGCGUGCGGGAUGAAGGCCCUCGGGUUGUAAACCGCUGUCAGUUGUUAGGAAAUCUAUCAGGGUUCUCUCUGGUAGUUGACCGAUCUUCAGAGGAAGGACGGGCUAAGUUCGUGCCAGCAGCCGCGGUAACACGAACCGUCCAAACGUUAUUCGGUAUCACUGGGCUUAAAGCGUGCGUAGGCGGCCAGGAAGGUCAGAGGUGAAAUCCCACGGCUCAACCGUGGAACUGCCUUUGAAACCACUUGGCUUGAGGAAGACAGGGGUGAUGGGAACUUAUGGUGGAGCGGUGAAAUGCGUUGAUAUCAUAGGGAACACCGGUGGCGAAAGCGCAUCACUGGGUCUUUUCUGACGCUGAGGCACGAAAGCUAGGGUAGCGAACGGGAUUAGAUACCCGGGUAGUCC
rnacentral:rRNA from 1 species